UCCAAAGGAUGACCUGAGUGUUAUUUUAGCAGUCAUAAUCUGCUACUCGUCAACGAGGGAGAUCGUGGUUCAAGGGUUUAGUCUACCCCGAAGAUACCAUCUCAAAGUAGUAUCGACAGUGGGUCCCCUUAAAUAAUUAUAUGGGCGCCCUUUUAUUCCUCUUUUGAAGGUAAGAGAGAAAGUUAGCAGGAAGAAAAAUCAACCAAGCAACA
rnacentral:lncRNA from 1 species